AUCUUGGAAAAACAACUGUCUUUUUCAUUGUUAGGGAUUACUUUGUGAAUCUUGCUCAAGAUUGUAAAUUUACAAUUAUUGGGAAGCUUUAUAGGGGAAAACCAACGAUGGAAGACUUAAGGAAAGAGUUUGUUAGUCAAUUUCAGCUUAGGGGAACUGUUAAAAUUUCACAUUUUGAUCAUCAACAUGUGUAUCUGGAUUUUGAUAAUGAAGUUGAUUUUACUCAUGUGGGAACUCGAUCAUUUGUGAAUAUUGGAAUAGCCCCAAUGAAAAUCAUGAAAUAGACCCUAGAUUUUAGGCCAGAAGUGGAAACAUCUAUUGUUCUAGUUUGAAUCUUAACACAUCAGCUGCCAUGGCAUCUAUUCAGGUGGGACGUUGUUUCUAGAAUGGUAAUUGCAAUUUGGAAUGUUGUAGCUCCUGAUAUGGCCACAUAUUCCUAGUCUAGAGGAAAUGUGACUAAGAUCAAAUUUGAAAUUGACUUGCUAAAACCAAAGUUAAAUGAGUUAUGGAUUGGAUUCAACACUUUAGAUGGCAAGGAAUGUGGGGUAUUGAUGAAGAUUGAAUAUUAGGGUGCCCCUAGCUAUUGUCAAUAUUGCUUCAUGCAGGGCCAUUUGAAAAGUCAGUGUAGAAAUAAAAUAAGGGAUUAGAGGAACAAAGCUCAAGUGGAAGAAAAGCAGGUAAGUGCCAAUCUCACAGAGAUGGGGGAUGAUUUUCCUCACAGAGAUGGGGGAUGAUUUUCAGAGUGUAACCAGAAGAAGGAGAACAAGAGAUAAUCCAACAAAAGCAAAACCAUAAGUAACCACUAGCAAACCACAUGUCACACAAACUAACAAACACAAUAGCAGGAAGAGUAAUGGGGUAGUUUUCAAGGAACCAAGCAUCACACAUUCAGAAAAAAGUAUAGUAGAAGUUCCAGGCAAGGGUAAAGGAAUUGAUAAAAUUCUAGAGGAGGUGAAUGAGACAUUCAGGGUUAGGGAAAUUAUGGAAAAUCAGGAGAAGAUAUCCACAAAGAAUCCAAAUAAGCAGAAAAAACAAAAGAGAAUAAACAAGGAAAGAAACAAGUCAAAUGGCAAGAACAACAAGUGUCAAAUAUACAAAAUGAGGAAGUAGAGGCAAAUACAAAUAUUUCUAGACAAGAGAUAGUGGGCAAUAAAAUAGAAAAGUUGAGGAUGGUGAAGGAAGAUCAGGAGGUAGACAAGUCAAUGAACACUAGGGAAGAGCAAGCUACAUUAGAGAAAAUAGUUUCUGAAUCACCUGAAAUGACUCUUACGGAAUUAGCAAGAUACGUGAAGGGUAGAAACACAACACCUACUACUCUUAUGGAGAAAAACAAUGUUGGAACAGGUAUAAAGCAAAAUGAUAACAAUAAGAAGACCUCAUUUGUAAAGGAGAGGCUAAGUAGACAAAGGGAGGAAGCGACCACAUCUCAUGUUAUUGAUCCUGGACAAGUGCAAAAUGCUUUCAACAAGUUAAUAUGUGGAACCAACUUGGAGACCUCACAGAAGAAACUUGAGAUUGACAAGGAGAGUCCAGGAGAACUGUCUGAAUCGUUUGAGGAUGAAGAGGAUAGUGCAAAAGAGGCCGAUUUUGAGGAUGGUGAAAGCUCAGAAGAUAGUGGUGACUAUGCUAGUGUUGACAAUGAGGAUAAGAGUGAAGGCAAUAGCGAAGAUAGUGAUGAGAAUAUGGAGUCACUUAUUUAAGCUUUUUCUCCUCAAACUAACCCAAAUGAAAACUUUGACAUGGUAGUGGAUGAAAUACUUGGCAAGGCUCAUCCGCCACCUAGAGACAGAUCAAAUCCAAAGAGAGGUACUGGUUCAAAAAGAGGAAGGGGUGGCAGGCAAUCCAACAAACACCCUGUGAGCUUAUCACAAGGUACUGAAUUACCAAAGGCAUUCACACAUACAUGCCUUGUACUCAUACUUAAGGUGGAGUGCCCACAGCAGUUUAGUGAACUCAGACCAAUAAGUCUAAGUAACUUCACCUGUAAGAUCAUCUCAAAGUUGUUGAAUCAGAGACUGGCCCCAUUGAUGCAGAAAAUGAUCUUUCCUAACCAAACAGGCUUUAUUAAAAGGGAGAUCAAUCAAUAAAAAUAUUAUGUUGACUUAUGAGAUAGUAUAUAGCAUCAGAAAGCCUAAGCAGCAUGGAAAUGUAGUACUGAAGCUUAACAUGACAAAGGCUUAUGACAGAGUUGAAUGGGACUAUCUAUGCCAAGUACUUAGACAACUUAGAUUCAAUGAACUAUGGAUAGACAGAGUAUGGAGGACCCUGUCAAAUGUAUGGUACUCAGUGAAUAUAAAUAGGGGUAGAUAUGGUUUCUUUAAGUCAACCAGAGGAAUCAAGCAGGUGGGCCCUUUAUCACCCUCAUUAUUUGUCAUAGGAGCUAAACCUCUUUCAAUAUUGAUAGUUAGUUUAGUAAAUGGUGGAUUUAUUCCUUAUGUUGUUGAUAGGAAAGAGCCUUUUAUUACUCAUUUAUACUAUGUGGAUGAUACUGUUUUGUUCUCCUCCGAUGAUCUAGAAUCUUUGAAGAUGAUGAUGGUUAAUUUGAAAA